rnacentral:rRNA from 1 species
UAGGGAAUAUUCCACAAUGAGCGAAAGCUUGAUGGAGCGACACAGCGUGCACGAUGAAGGCCCUCGGGUUGUAAAGUGCUGUUGCAAGGGAAGAACAGUUAGUUGAGGAAAUGCUUCUAAUCUGACGGUACCUUGUUAGAAAGCGAUGGCUAACUAUGUGCCAGCAGCCGCGGUAAUACAUAGGUCGCAAGCGUUAUCCGGAAUUAUUGGGCGUAAAGCGUUCGUAGGCUGUUUAUUAAGUCUGGAGUCAAAUCCCAGGGCUCAACCCUGGCUCGCUUUGGAUACUGGUAAACUAGAGUUAGAUAGAGGUAAGCGGAAUUCCAUGUGGAGCGGUGAAAUGCGUAGAUAUAUGGAAGAACACCAAAGGCGAAGGCAGCUUACUGGGUCUAUACUGACGCUGAGGGACGAAAGCGUGGGGAGCAAACAGGAUUAGAUACCCUGGUAGUCCACGCUGUAAACGAUGAUCAUUAGUCGGUGGAAAACUACUGACGCAGCUAACGCAUUAAAUGAUCCGCCUGAGUAGUAUGCUCGCANGGAGUG